CACGGGGACCCCUCCCCGUGCUGGCACCCCCGGCCCGGCUGGGGCCACCUGGGCACAGCUCCGCUCCCCGUGGUCCCCUCCGCGGCCAGAACGGAGGAGAGCAGAACGGAUCAGACUGGAUCAGAUCGGGUCAGACUGGACCAGAUCAGCCCUUGUGGGGCUGCGGAGAGAGGCCAAGGCUGUGCCAGGGCCGGGACUGUGGGCGCUGCCCCUGGGGACAUUCGAGGUCCCCUCCCACAGUUUAGACCUGGCCCAAUCCACCCAGUCUGGCCCAGUUUGGGGAGCUGGAGGGGAGGGCAGCCCAGCUGGAGCUUCUCACACCUCUCUGGCCUGUCUGCAGCGUAGCGCUCAGCAAACAGGGGCAGCACGGGCAGGUCUUGUGGGAAUUCUGAGGCCAGGCUCCAACACUGAGCUCCAGAGCUCAGCAGAAACACUCUCACAUCUGCUUCCCCCCGGCCCAGCCCAGCACGGCCCCUCAGGCAACCCAGGGGGUUCUGCAGCCUCCGUGGGGAUCCAGGACUGCCUGGGACCCUCCAGCACUGGCAGAGACUCUCCUGUCCCUGGCUGGAAGUGCUGCCGGGGAUGGCAAAACCCUGCCUGGGAUUUGGGGGGUGCCUGGGCUCUGCCGAGCCUUUGCCGUGCUGAAAGGCACCCUGACAGGGGUCCUUUUUUCUUGCCCCUUAUUCCAUUGCUGAAUAAAGUUCCAAACUCUUGGAGGAGUCCAACAAAGUCCAGCACAAAGACACGGUGGGGGAGCAGCGGGGCCGGGAGGCAGAGGGGACGUGUGAUGGGGUGUAAAGAGAUCUGGGACCUGCUCCCACUUCCCUGGAGAGGGUCAGCACCCCAACCCCUCUCCCCAUGGCCCCACAGCACCUCAACCCCUUACCCUACAGCCCCAGGGCCCCCCAGCCCCUCACCCUACAGCCCCAGGGCAGCCCACCCCUGCCACCCCCUGCCCAUUUCCCUUGACAUUGGGUCUUCACUGAAAUCCAAGGAAACUUCAG
rnacentral:lncRNA from 1 species